CAACAGGGAUUGCCUUAGUAACUGCGAGUGAAGCGGCAAAAGCUCAAAUUUGAAAUCUGGCGUCUUCUGCGUCCGAAUUGUAAUUUGGAGAGGCAUCUUCGGUGAUGGCGCUGUCCUAAGUUCCUUGGAACAGGAUGACAUAGAGGGUGAGAUCCCCGUGCCUGGGUGGCUGUCCAUCUCCAUGUGAAGUGUCUUCGACGAGUCGAGUUGUUUGGGAAUGCAGCUCAAAAUGGGUGGUAAAUUUCAUCUAAAGCUAAAUAUUGGCGAGAGACCGAUAGCGCACAAGUAGAGUGAUCGAAAGAUGAAAAGCACUUUGAAAAGAGAGUUAAAAAGUACGUG
rnacentral:rRNA from 1 species